UACGUAGGGUGCAAGCGUUGUCCGGAAUUAUUGGGCGUAAAGAGCUCGUAGGCGGCUUGUUGCGUCGACUGAGAAAACCUGCGGCUCAACCGUGUGGUCUGCAAUCGAUACGGGCAGGCUGGAGUUCGGUAGGGGAGACUGGAAUUCCUGGUGUAGCGGUGAAAUGCGCGGAUAUCAGGAGGAACACCGGUGGCGAAGGCGGGUCUCUGGGCCGAUACUGACGCUGAGGAGCGCAAGCGUGGGGAGCGAACAGG
rnacentral:rRNA from 1 species